CCUACGGGUGGCAGCAGUGGGGAAUAUUGCGCAAUGGGCGAAAGCCUGACGCAGCGACGCCGCGUGAGGGAUGAAGGUCUUCGGAUCGUAAACCUCUGUCAGCAGGGAAGAACGGUCACUGUGCUAAUCAGCAGUGAAUUGACGGUACCUGCAAAGGAAGCACCGGCUAACUCCGUGCCAGCAGCCGCGGUAAUACGUAGGGUGCGAGCGUUAACCGGAAUUACUGGGCGUAAAGCGCUCGUAGGCGGUAAGUUAAGUCAAGGGUGAAAUCCCCGGGCUCAACGUGGGAACUGCCUUGGAUACUGGCAAGCUGGAGUGUGUGAGAGGAUAGUGGAAUUCCAGGUGUAGGAGUGAAAUCCGUAGAUAUCUGGAGGAACAUCAGUGGCGAAGGCGACUAUCUGGCACAUAACUGACGCUGAGGAGCGAAAGCGUGGGUAGCAAACAGGAUUAGAUACCCCAGUAGUC
rnacentral:rRNA from 1 species